rnacentral:lncRNA from 1 species
AGUGGUAGGGAAUUCAAAUUUAAAUUUGAAUUUGAAUUUGAGGUUUAUUCGAUUAAUAUACACGUAUAUGUGUGGUUUUGGAGAAUCGGAGAGAGAAUGGCUUUCGCCGCGAAUCGGCAACCAACUCGAACGAAACAAAAUCAUGGGUUUGAUGUCUCGAUCGUGCUGAAUGUGCCGGCACAGCCCAUUCGAAAAUCCGACGAACGGAUCGCUAGAUAUCGCCUGUUUAUCGAGGAAGGGUCAAAUU